UACAGAGGGGCAAGCGUUGUUCGGAAUUACUGGGCGUAAAGGGCGCGUAGGCGGCCUGCUAAGUCGAACGUGAAAUCCCCGGGCUCAACCCGGGAACUGCGUCCGAUACUGGCAGGCUUGAAUCCGGGAGAGGGAUGCGGAAUUCCAGGUGUAGCGGUGAAAUGCGUAGAUAUCUGGAGGAACACCGGUGGCGAAGGCGGCAUCCUGGACCGGCAUUGACGCUGAGGCGCGAAAGCCAGGGGAGCAAACGGGG
rnacentral:rRNA from 1 species